rnacentral:rRNA from 1 species
CAGCAGCCGCGGUAAUACGUAGGGUGCAAGCGUUGUCCGGAAUUAUUGGGCGUAAAGAGCUCGUAGGCGGCUUGUCGCGUCUGCUGUGAAAUCCCGGGGCUCAACCCCGGGCCUGCAGUGGGUACGGGCAAGCUAGAGUGCGGUAGGGGAGAUUGGAAUUCCUGGUGUAGCGGUGGAAUGCGCAGAUAUCAGGAGGAACACCGAUGGCGAAGGCAGAUCUCUGGGCCGCUACUGACGCUGAGGAGCGAAAGCAUGGGGAGCGAACAGGAUUAGAUACCCUGGUAGUCCAUGCCGUAAACGUUGGGAACUAGAUGUAGGGCCUGUUCCACGGGUUCUGUGUCGUAGCUAACGCAUUAAGUUCCCCGCCUGGGGAGUACGGCCGCAAGGCUAAAACUCAAAGGAAUUGACGGGGGCCCGCACAAGCGGCGGAGCAUGCGGAUUAAUUCGAUGCAACGCGAAGAACCUUACCAAGGCUUGACAUAUACGAGAACGGGCUAGAAAUAGUCAACUCUUUGGACACUCGUAUACAGGUGGUGCAUGGCC